AAAUAGUAUACAGUGAAACUGCGAAUGGCUCAUUAAAACAGUUAUAGUUUAUUUGAUAAUUGAAUGCUACAUGGAUAACCGUGGUAAUUCUAGAGCUAAUACAUGCUGUAAAACCUGACUUUUUGAAGGGUUGUAUUUAUUAGAUAUUAAACCAGUAGCCCAAAAGGCUGUUGUGAUGAUUCAUAAUAACUGAUCGAAGCGAGGCAAGCCUCGCUAAAUCAUUCAAGUUUCUGCCCUAUCAGCUUUCGAUGGUAGUGUAUUGGACUACCAUGGCAAUCACGGGUAACGGGGAAUUAGGGUUCGAUUCCGGAGAGGGAGCCUGAGAAACGGCUACCACUUCUAAGGAAGGCAGCAGGCGCGUAAAUUACCCAAUCCCGAUUCGGGGAGGUAGUGACAAGAAAUAACAACUCGGGUCCUUCGGGAUUACGAGAUUGCAAUGAGAACAAUUUAGACCACUUAACGAGGAUCCAUUGGAGGGCAAGUCUGG
rnacentral:rRNA from 1 species